UACGUAGGGGGCAAGCGUUGUCCGGAAUCAUUGGGCGUAAAGAGCGUGUAGGCGGCUCGGUAAGUCCGCUGUGAAAGUCCAGGGCUCAACCCUGGAAUGCCGGUGGAAACUGUCGAGCUAGAGUCCGGAAGAGGCGAGUGGAAUUCCUGGUGUAGCGGUGAAAUGCGCAGAUAUCAGGAGGAACACCAAUGGCGAAGGCAGCUCGCUGGGACGGUACUGACGCUGAGGCGCGAAAGCUAGGGGAGCAAACGGG
rnacentral:rRNA from 1 species